rnacentral:misc_RNA from 1 species
GUUCAUGACUGGGGUGAAGUCGUAACAAGGUAGCGCUAGGGGAACCUGGCGCUGGAUCACCUCCUUAAACGAUGAUUAUACACGAUGAGUGUCCACACAGAUUGAUAGUUCACAAGCGCAAGCUUGUAGCUAACAUAGCUCUUUAACAAUUUGGAAAGCUGACAAAACAAUCUUUAAGAUUGUUUGUAAAGUUCUCAAUGUUUGUCUUUAUGACAAACACCAAAAAACACAUUCAAGUGUUCUUGGGAAUAUCACUUUUAAGUGAUUAUUCGAAAUUGAGUCCGGCAAAAUCGAAAUGUCUCUCGCUCAUUCAAAUAAUGAGAGACAACUUUGGUGAUUUGAACAUCAACUCGAAACUCCUUCGGGUUGUAU